UUGGAGGGCAAGUCUGGUGCCAGCAGCCGCGGUAAUUCCAGCUCCAAUAGCGUAUAUUUAAGUUGUUGCAGUUAAAAAGCUCGUAGUUGAAUUUCGGGGUCAGCAGGUUGGUCGUGCCAAUGGUAUAAACUGGCCUUGCUGAUUCCUCCCUCUUGAUGAGCCGUAAUGUCAUUAAUUUGGUGUUGCGGGGAAUCAGGACUGUUACUUUGAAAAAAUUAGAGUGUUUAAAGCAGGCAAGCGCUUGAAUACAUUAGCAUGGAAUAAUGAAAUAGGACGUUUGAUCCUAUUUUGUUGGUUUCUAGGAUUGACGUAAUGAUUAAUAGGGAUAGUUGGGGGCAUUAGUAUUCAAUUGUCAGAGGUGAAAUUCUUGGAUUUAUUGAAGACUAACUACUGCGAAAGCAUUUGCCAAGGAUGUUUUCAUUAAUCAAGAACGAAAGUUAGGGGAUCGAAGACGAUCAGAUACCGUCGUAGUCUUAACCAUAAACUAUGCCGACUAGGGAUCGGAUGAUGUUAAUUUUUUAAUGACUCAUUCGGCGCCUUACGGGAAAC
rnacentral:rRNA from 1 species